AACCUGUGGUGAGCGGUCAUAGUAGACAUUACUUAAUUUUAAAAUGAGCCACAAAAAGUUUGGGAACCACUGAGAUAGAGAACAGGGCUGCAUGAUCAUCACAUCAGUAACUAUGUCACUGCCGUGGGACAAGACAAUAUGA